ACAACCUCUCCCCUCCUCCCCGCACGACCUCUCUCGCUCCCUCCUCCUCGCACGUCUCUCCCCCCUCCUCCUUCGCCGUUUGCCGCCCCGCCGUUCCUCCCGCAGCCUUGCACCGCCAUUAGCCACAGGAUCCGCCCUGCGGCGCGCGGAGCCGCCUCCCGCAGCCGCAGCCGUAGCCGAUGUCGUAACCUCCCCCUGCCUCUUCUCCGCCUCACCCAUGUGCCUCCCAACCACCAAGCCACCGCCGCCUCAUCUCCUAGCUGCACGGCCGGGCGACGCAGCGAGGCGCGCUCCCACGCCGCCGCCGGUGGGACACCGCAAGACCGCCGUCGGCCGCGUCCAUACCCUCAUCCAUCUGCAUAGCCCCAGCUUUGUCUCCUCCGCUCCGAGGCCGUACAUGCCCUGACGCACUUGAUCUGGACGGCAGUACCACCGGGGCGCAUCACCUUCUUGCGCCUCCCACAUAGGCCUCCGUGGUCGUGCUGCUCUGUACCCAAUGUCUGUCUAUAAGCUUCAUGUGCAUCAAUAGUCUUGAGCCGCCAAUCUUGAUCGAACAGGUCGCAGGAGCUUGCCGGUAACACCUGAUCUUUGAUCUGGUUUGUAUGCACGCGUGUAUGUGAUUAGUUUCAGGCUUUCAGCGGCCACAUGUCGUUGCAGUAAGACGAUGCAUCACGCAUUGAAUGGAACCGUAAGGCGAUGAGGCGAGGAGCGCGUGCACACACUGGCGUCAGCGGCACGGUGUCAAGCUGCGGAGAAGGCAUCCGGCGAGGCAGCCACCAAGUUCUCCAUCUCCUCUUGAAUUCUGCUAAUUAUCUUGGCAUUUUAUUGGCCUGCUACUUGAUGGAAAUCAAACUCCCCAUAUACACUUGUACUGAACACCACACACGACUGCUACUUUGGUGCAGGACGGUGAUUAGUCUUGCCUAAUUCUCUUGACCAAAGCAUUGCCCUUUGCUAUUUCUUAGUUUCUAUAUCUCAGGAUUAAUCGAUGAGUCAAAAGUCGAUGCUUCCGUUUCGAAAUCAUAGUUUUUGUUUUCAAAAUCAUAGAAAAGUUUGGGACGACUAUACUAUAGCAUGCUCUGGACAUCCUACUGAUGCCGAUGAUUUUGCUUUGCAGGUGCCUAAGUGGAUGGCGGUGAACAGGCGUUCAGCAAAGACUCUCUCUUAGUAUGGGACGAGGAGAUUGAAUUUGGACCCUGUUGAUGGCUCGAUACCGAACCCAGAACAUGUGCCUGAUCAUGGUACACACCAUUGGAUGGUUUUUGCCGCCUAUAUGUUUUUUCGUUGGGAGCUCGAAUCUGAAGCCUCUAUCCUGCAAAGAGGAGCAAGUGAUGUGGAUAUUUUACGAGCAAAAGAUUCAAGAAGUGUGCAGAGCAUUCAUAUUCCCCCACAAAAUUCAGUUGAAUAUGGCAUCCUCUCAACGUAAUGGGAUCCGGACACUAUUUCAGGACCUAACGAACACUAGAAAUUCUGCCAAUUGGAACAACAAGCAAUACAUCAGCUAAUUAGAACAUCAAGCAAGCAAUGCAGCUACUGUCAAGGUUGCAUCACAUUCAUGCUAUAGAUUCAGCAAAGUUUAGGUUCUCUAUCCAACACACUGUUGCUUCAAGCUUCAGGUUCAGGCGCCGACGACGAAGGGAACAAAACCUAUAUCUAUAUCACGUUGCGUGUCAACUGCCACAAGUGCCGACAUUGCCAACAUUACGGCUACCUGGGAAGCCGGCAGCCGGCAGUAGCACCGGAAGCAGGGACGGGAGCAACAAUGUAGGCGGUAGCCUACAACAGCGGAUGGGGUUACUGGGAUGGGCACGAGAGGCGGCGGCAUAGCUACCUGGAGCAGCAAGGUUCAGGAUAAGUGGAGGAGCUAGCAGCCAGAAACAUCGGAGGCGGUAGCUGUCGGUAGCAGCGCAGAUGGCAAGAAACAAAACGAGUGUUGAGGGUCCAUGUAGAAAAUAAAACUCAUUGGUAAUUGUAGAUCGGCCGCCGUUGAAAUAGAGGUUGUUACAAUUAUGUUUUGAUGAAGAAUCAGUAUUAUUACAUAUUUAAAAAAAUACUUCCUCCAUUCUAAAUAUAAUCUUUUUAGAGAUUUCAGUAAGGACUACAUACGAGUGUAUAUAUUAAAGUAUAGAUUCACUCAUUUUACUUUGUAUAUAAUCCAAAUUGAAAUAUCUAAAAAUACUUUUACAUUUAAAAACGAAGAGAGUAUAAUUUUAUAUCUAGAUGAAGACGUGCAUUGCACAUGCACGUUUACUAGUCCAAGGAAAAAACAACCGGAUCACAAACAGAUGCCUAACUGCAAAUGAGCCAUGCGGUCAACGCGGGGUGGCGGCGGUAGCUCGAUGCAGAGAACGGUGGUGUGGCCAAGGCGUGGCUCUGGCGGGGCUGCCUUGAUUCUGGCUGAUGGCAGCUGCAAUGGGUCGACGACGGGAGGCUCCGGCGAGUGGGAGGGACGGCGGCGGCUGACCUCCUCCAUGGCCUGCCGCUGUUCGAGGGAGAGAGAGAUUCGAAGGUGAGGAGGAGAUAGAGAAGCACAGAAGGAAGGGGGAGUAAGAAAGGCAUGGGCACGCCCGGCAGGCUCUCACCUCUCUUACCUCCAUGCCGCUCCCAAGCCUAGACAACGACCCAUGCGACGGGAGCCCGUUGGCGCCGCCACCGGCGCCGGGCUUCACGACGAUCUACUCGACUCCGUGCGUCGAUUCAUCAACUCCGCACCAGCACUCCACCGGGAUCGGCGUCCGGAUCAGCUCCUAACUCUGCAAAGUCAUGGGGUAUGGGGCUGCUCGGUCUCAUCUCCAAGGGGCAUGCAGCCGCCGACGCCCGUACCUGCCGACGGGAACGAUCAAACGGACGAGCAGGAGAGAUCCUGUAGAUCCAAUGGCAGAAGGGCCAGAUGAUGGCCUCCAGUGCCUUUGGCCAGGUCUACCUCGGGAUGAAUCUGGACACUAGUGAGCUCCUCGCAUUAAAGCAGCUUUGAUCAGGAGCACCAAUGCCACACAGGAGAAAGCCCAAGAUUGGGUGCAUAUAAGAGAACUUCGGGAAGAAAAGUGAAGGUCCUCAAGAAUCUUUCACACCACAAUAUUACAGUGAGUAGAGUAAAUAUCGAUUACAAAUCAGAUUCUUUAUUUAAGUUCUAUCAAGUAGUUGCUCGAUCUAUUUUCUAUCGGGAGAGAAGAGGUACCUUGGGACUGUUUGUGAGGAAGACACACUGAAUAUCUUGCUGGAGUUUUUUUCCCACCCACUGCAUGCCACCGUCUGGCUCUCAGCACUCUGACCUCCAUGCGGUCGUCAGGAACUCCUCUGCCACAAGAUUCUCCCGUCCAGGUAGCGUACAGUCCGCCACAAGAUUCUCAUGUACAGGCAGUGUACAGAAGGAACAUGGACAGAUGGUGGGCUCCAAGGCCAUGUCGAUGUUGUUGCGCUUGCAGCUUGAGAUCUACUUGGUCCAAAUGAAGAAUCGUCAUUUCAAAUGGUUAGUACAAUUUGCUCAAUGCCAUAAACCUGCACUGAUCUUCACUCAUGUCAUCUGACAGAAGUCUAUUGAAUUUCAAUAAAAUUUUGUUGUAUGUUAUCCAUGACGUAAGUGGAGAUAGGAAGGUCCAAAAAAUUUAAAAAUUGCGGCACAAGGGGGAUGGUCACUAAUUUUUCACUUGAUAAAAUGUUUGUGAAGUAUGGCAAAUUAUGACCUUAGCAAACCUUUUAUUUACAUAUAUUCAUAUAUAUUUUGAAUUUCAGAAACGUGCAUUGCACGUAUAUGGUUAGAUCUUAAUUUUCUUCAUUACUCAACAUAUUUGUACCCACUAGGAUUUCAUUUUUUUUAUUAUUGAGUAUUAUACUAUUGUUAUUUGUUGUCCACCUUGAUCCUUCACUGCUAUUUUUCCUAGGCAACUUUGCAUGGAAUUAGGAUCACUUAAUAAGGUUCUGCUAUCUUUUUCAUAUUCGCUUGCUUUAUGCAUGAACCUAUCACCAAGAUUUGGAUCUCUUAUAUGCUGCAUCGAUGCUGUUGUAGAUUUGUUAGUGUUGAUUUGUAGUAAGAGGAAAUUUAAUGUUGUUCUCAUCAAUUUAUUUCAUAGCAUGUGUCACAAAUAAAUUUAUUACAGAUCUGGGAAUACCUUUUCUUUUUAGAUAAGUUUAGGCUUGAAUUGUCACAAGUAAAUGGGGGGCGUUGGGUAUAGUUUCAGGAAGCCAGAGCAUCAUAUUUAUUUUGAGCCACAUGGGGCGAAUUACAUCCAUGUAUUAAAAAACUAGGCGCCCACUUAGGUAGAAAGUACAACUCUUGCUGUCCCGGGGCUUCAUAGUAGUGCUAGAAUUUAAUCAAUGAUCCAUGUACAUGUUGAUUGUUAUGAAACCAUGCGAUGGGAUCUUGAUCUUGACAAUGUCGAAAAAUCUGGUUCAUCAGAGACAAAAUCCCACCUUAAUUCCCCCCUUUGGAUCAUGAAAUAUUGGGGGUUAACACGAUGCUAUGUAAGAUGGGUUGAGAUCUACCAUACGGUAACUUUCUUUUAUUCAAAUAUUCUCUUUUGUUUUGUAGCCUUAAUGUUUUCUGUUGUGGGGUGACAAUGUCAAGGUCUAUGCUAACAAGCAAGAUUUUUUUAUAUGCAGUGAGUAUUGAACAGCGGACAAGUUGCUGCAUCCCUCUUGCAACCUUUACAAUUUAUGUUGGCAACUCUAAUAUAGUGGUUCUAAGACUGUUCAGUGAGAGAUGGAUUGGGUAUAUACCAAGAAGAACUACUCACAUGUUCUAAUUAUUGACUAACAAAUGUCCGCUGCUUUGCUAUUGGUAUACGAGAGACCAGAAUCAUCUGAUAUAUAUAUUUGUGCACCAAAUUAUGUUAAGCACAAAGUCAAUGCUGGAGAUACUAAAAACGUACCCUGGUUGCAGUUAUUUAAACUGCAAGGCUUACAGUGAUCAUAUAUUUCCUACUACAUUGAUUUUAGCAGGAAAAUUCGAGGAAUCUAGAGGAGAUUCAGGGUCUUGGAUAGCACUGAAUACUACCGAAAAAUAGACAUAUUGCAUUCUUGAUCCUUUUUGCUUUUUUUCAUUUUCAUGCUAUUGAAGUACCGAAAAAUUGACUAGUGCUUUCUAUAUAUGUCAAAUUCACUUGUAAUUUCCUGAAGUUUUGUGAAAUAUUGAAGGAUAUCUUGGAACAACAAAGUUCCAAAUCGUCA